AAAUCUUGCCUACUCUGGUGAUCAAGUUUACUGUACAAAUAACAAAUGAUAACUCUAUAAUAAUUAUGAUUUUGAAGAUGAGGAUGUUAGUCGUAUUCUGCAUCCUCUACCUGAUGACUCCUACUGGCUACAGUCAGCUUCAGCGUCCCAACAGUGAAGAAAUAUAUCAUGGGCCACGUGCGAUUGAAAGGACUGAAAUACCUGGGCCACGUGGGCCACCAGGUUUACCUGGAUUUCCAGGACCACGGGGGAGGACAGGAAAUCCUGGAGCUGUUGUAUUCUGCGGACAAAGUUGUAUAUUUUCUAUAUUUUCAAGAGAAAAUAUAUUUUAUAAAAUGACUUUCACCAGCUGAGUAACUGUUGUUUGUCAUUUCCUAAAAUGCUGAAUGCAGCAGCAGUACAACUUAAACAACUUUCAGUGUCUUCAUUGUCCCGCACAAAGAAAUAUCUGCACACAUGGAUUCACUAGUUCAGGGGUCGGGAACCUAUGGCUGACAUUUUUUAACAUGAGUAACAAGUAAUAAAUAAUUAUACUGUGUUAUUUUAAAGUAAAACAUUUAGCAGGGGAUACUUUUUUUGUUUUUCCCCUCUCCUAUCCUCCGCUCUGUCUCUGACUGUAGGUGUGUGCGCACGUGUCGAGAGCGGAGCCCUGCCCUUCGCUAAACAAAGCAGAGGAGAAACUGCGCAAAGCAAGCAAUAGACCAGGGGUGUCAAACUCAAUCACAGAGAGGGCCAAAAUUAAAAACUGGGACUACGUCAAGGGCCAAACACGGUCCACAUUUAUUGAACAGGAUAGACGUAUUGAAAUAAAGUGUAAAAAGAUAUGAAACAUUUUUAAGUAGGCUACAUUCUGCUGCGAUGUGUCAGAGCCAAAUGUUUGGAAUCUUUUCUUAGCUGCCAGUUUAAUGUUUGGGGUUCUGUGGAAACCCUCAGUGAGUGAAGGUGUGCAUCAAUGAGACGACUCCUGUGUGGGUUUUUGUUCAUCUUCAUCACAGAGAAAAGCUGCUCACACGUGUAUGUGCUUGUAAACAUGCAGAGUAUCUGAGCAGCAUGAAGGCGGGUUGAGGCAUCAUUUCUGGGAUGAAGUUUGGAAACUGCGCAGCGCUCACAGAGUCAUACUAUGCCUUGAGCUCCAUUUGGAUGUUCACAGGUGCUGUUUCCACGUCAACUGCAAACGGAUUGCUGAGCAGUUUCAUUUGAAUUUCUGAGCUCAGUUUAUAAGCAAAAAGUCAGGAACACAGCAGUGGAGAUGGUUUGUCAGUGUUUGGAAACACAUAGUGCUGCAUCAGAGUCUCCCACAGGCGCAGCUUGGCUUGGAACGCUCUCACUGCAUCAUACAUGUCCGUGAUCACAGAGCCCUGAAGAUUGAGGUUUAGCGCAGUGAGAUGCUUCGUUAUGUCGCACAAAAAGGCCAACUCACAUCGCCACUUUCUGUCCCAGAGAUCUGUGGUGUGUUUCCCUUUGCUUUCCAAAAACUGGCAGAUUUCCUCACGCAACUUGAAAAAUCUAUUCAGCACUUUCCCUCGACUCAGCCAUCACACCGCCAUGUUCAGAAUGUAUCUCCUCAGGAAAAUACUUAAAUUGGCUCUUAUAAAGUUUCCUGUCUGUGUUACGGUGCUUAUUACAUGUUCCAUCUCCAGAGCUUUACAACACAGCGCUUCCUGGUGUAUGAUGUAGUGAUACACCGUCAGCUGCAUCUUCUCCCGCAUCCUGCCCACUAAUCCGCUCUUUUCACCGCACAUCGCAGGCGCUCCAUCUGUCGUCAGUCCCGUCAGUUUGUCCCGGGGCAGUUUCAUUUCUCACACAUUUAGAUACUUCCUAAAAUAUCUAUUUUCACGUGGUUGUGCCAUGUAUUAUUUUAAUUACCAAAACCGGCAGGCCAGUUAUGAUAGACAUAUGAUAUGGUAGGGGAAACACUGAUACUGCUUUUAGUACUUGGAGAUGUGUUAUACUUAAAAAAUGCACGCAUUAAGUUGCAUUCAAUUUUAUUAAAUAUAUGGCUCACAAGGAAAUACAUUAAAACAUAUUUGGUUUUUAUGGCUCUCCCAUCCAAAAAGGUUCCCGACCCCUCCACAAGUUGUAAGAGAGAUGUAUAGAUACACAAGAGGAGGACACUUGAACACUGCAUCACAGUUCAGUAACAACAACUAGACGACCUUUUUGAAGGUCUUAACUUGGUUGAGUCUGUGUCCAAGGGAUUAUACUUCAACUCCCACUUGUAAACCUUUUCUUGAAGUUAAGCUUUUCAUUUGUACAGGGUGCACAUUUGACACAAUGUGGACUCAGAUCCAACUUACUGCCAGUUUGGUAACUGAAUCUUGAUCUGUUUGAUCCAGGUGUCUCUGACAAGGAACUUGGAACCAUAAAGAACAGAUUUGCUAAGUUAGAGCUGGGUAAGUGUCAGGGUGCUACAGGGAGUGAGCGCAUGUGGAUGGAGAUUAAUUAGAGCUGUUUAUUUCUCGUAGAACCCAUGUUGUUCAUACUAAUGUUGUGC
rnacentral:lncRNA from 1 species